rnacentral:rRNA from 1 species
GAUGAACGCUAGCGGGAGGCCUAACACAUGCAAGCCGAGCGGUAUUGUUUCUUCGGAAAUGAGAGAGCGGCGUACGGGUGCGUAACACGUGUGCAACCUGCCUUUAUCUGGGGGAUAGCCUUUCGAAAGGAAGAUUAAUACUCCAUAAUAUAUUGAACGGCAUCGUUUAAUAUUGAAAGCUCCGGCGGAUAGAGAUGGGCACGCGCAAGAUUAGCUAGUUGGUGAGGUAACGGCUCACCAAGGCGAUGAUCUUUAGGGGGCCUGAGAGGGUGAUCCCCCACACUGGUACUGAGACACGGACCAGACUCCUACGGGAGGCAGCAGUGAGGAAUAUUGAUCAAUGGGUGCAAGCCUGAACCAGCCAUCCCGCGUGAAGGACGACUGCCCUAUGGGUUGUAAACUUCUUUUGUAUAGGGAUAAACCUACCCUCGAGAGGGUAGCUGAAGGUACUAUACGAAUAAGCACCGGCUAACUCCGUG